CGCAUGGCCCAAGGUACACUACCUACGACUAAACUAAUGUACACCUGCUGGGAUACUCAUAGAACCGCCCUUUGCUCCGCCAGGCCUUGGUCCAUGGCAACUCCAAUGCGCACCAUUGGGCUGUGCAACGACACGUUCCCAUACAGAGCAUGGGAAAGAUGCAAAAUCACACACCUACACCAGGUAUGCACCUCGCAAGGGC